rnacentral:lncRNA from 1 species
ACAUAUAUACACCCAUAUAUGCACCAUAUACAUGACCUAUUGCUCAAGUAAUCUAACAUCGAUUAGUGUUCAUCACCUAUCUCUAGUGCAAUCAUAAUCUCAAACGUGCCACUUGUACAAUACACAACAUACACAUGUAACACCUAUAUGCAAAAUAGACGUAGAAGGAAAUUCGUCGUUUUCGGCAACACGGAAUCCACCUCGAAUGCGAAAUUAAGGAUAAAAUGAUCAUCCGAAAGCUUGAAGUGCUCCUUGCUACUCUCCUUGGUCACAUGGCAGCCAUCGCACUCCAAAAUUAUUGGAAAAAUCUCUCGUUGAAAAUCGCACGAUUUCGGCUCCUAAAUUGCAUAGAAUUGAGUUUCAAAAUUCGAAUUUCGAUAAAAAUCCAGCAAAACCUUUUUCUUUACAUCAUGCUAUUAAGAACCCAUCAAAAAAAUUGAAAUGAAAAGAUAAUAAAAUUAUAAUACUAACCCGAGUGUCGAAACGUUAAAAAUCGCACGCGUGGUGUUUCGAUUUGCUCGUCAAAUAGCACCAAACCCAUUCCUUUUCUUCUUCUUCUUCUCCUUUUCUCCUCUUUUUUUCCCUUGCUCUCUCUAUGCAUGCUGGCUGAAGGAGAGGGAGC